GGUUCUGAUAAUUCUAAUGCCGAUUGGUACAUCUCAUUCCAAACUGAUGAACUGUACACUGUAAAAUGUGCUCCAAAACUACAUGUCUUAGACUGAGUAUUACAAAUUCAAAUCUUGCAAAAGAUACAAGUUACUGUCCGAUUUUGUCAUAAUCUCCAAUAAAACUUUUAUUUUGAAACCAAAUGCCGUUAUUUAAUGAUAUUU
rnacentral:lncRNA from 1 species